UAGGGAAUCUUCGGCAAUGGGGGCAACCCUGACCGAGCAACGCCGCGUGAGUGAAGAAGGUUUUCGGAUCGUAAAGCUCUGUUGUAAGUCAAGAACGGGUGUGAGAGUGGAAAGUUCACACUGUGACGGUAGCUUACCAGAAAGGGAUGGCUAACUACGUGCCAGCAGCCGCGGUAAUACGUAGGUCCCGAGCGUUGUCCGGAUUUAUUGGGCGUAAAGCGAGCGCAGGCGGUUUGAUAAGUCUGAAGUUAAAGGCUGUGGCUCAACCAUAGUUCGCUUUGGAAACUGUCAAACUUGAGUGCAGAAGGGGAGAGUGGAAUUCCAUGUGUAGCGGUGAAAUGCGUAGAUAUAUGGAGGAACACCGGUGGCGAAAGCGGCUCUCUGGUCUGUAACUGACGCUGAGGCUCGAAAGCGUGGGGAGCGAACAGGAUUAGAUACCCUGGUAGUCCACGCCGUAAACGAUGAGUGCUAGGUGUUGGAUCCUUUCCGGGAUUCAGUGCCGCAGCUAACGCAUUAAGCACUCCGCCUGGGGGAGUACGACCGCAAGGUUGAAACUCUAAGUGAAUUGAC
rnacentral:rRNA from 1 species